GCCCCCCCCCAUCCUUUUCUUGCCCCUCCCUCAGAUUUUUUUGAGGACAAAACCUUCUUCCUCUACGGAGACUUCGCGGCCCCCGAGCGGCGCCUGCUGCAGCGCUACGUGACCGCCUUCGGGGGGACGUUGGCCCAGUACAUGAGCGAGAAGGUGACGCACGUGGUGACGGCACAGGAGUGGGACGAGACCUUCGAGGAGGCGCUGGAGCUGAACCCGUCGCUGGCCUUCGUGCGGCCCCGCUGGGUGCUGCUGUGCGGGGAGCGCCUGCGCCCGCUGCCGGCCCAGCCCUUCGCCGUCGUGCCCCGCGCCUGAGCCCCGUGACGUCAUCGUGACGUCGUCGUGACGUCAUCCUGGCAUCACUGCGACAUCGUCGUGACAUCGCUGGACCUCAUCAUUUUGGACCCUUGGCACCUCGCCCUCCGUCGCCCUCCACAUCACAGGCGGGGCUCGCCCCCCUCCCCCCAUUUCCGUUUUGGGUCAUUUUUGGCCGAAUUAAAGGUGUUUUGCUAAAAA